rnacentral:lncRNA from 1 species
GGUUGACUCUCACACCACUGGGGCCUGACACUGCUACUGGCUACCCUAGCCACACUCCCACUGCUCAUGAUCCCUGCGUCUGGGGUGAGGGAUGGGGCAGCCAUAGUUUGGAAAUGGAAGAAAUGGAAAAGGCAUCCAAAGAAAUAGUUAAUUGUCUCCCCUUCCCCCGGGCCCCUGCACCUGCAGGCUGCGGUGUGUGGUUUCCCACAGCUGCAGCUGGCUCGCAGCAGCCCCCUCCCUCCAAGGGAACCCGAGAGGCCCCGGAGUCUGAGGCGCCUGCAAGGGGCUCCUGGUCCUCCAUUCAGGUUCUAAGGACGCACAUAGGAUGCACUUAGAGCCUUCUAAGAGCUGCCACUGGGAGUGUUCUGAUGGUGUGUAGCCAAUUUAGGGUCCCAGCUUGGGGGCCAAAGGCGGAGAUUCUGGUUUGGAAAAUAGAAGGGGUUUCUUGAAUAGGAAAAAUAGCUGUAACGAAAAAAAUAGCUGUAACCUUUCUCCAUAGGGUCUCUUAGCGCCGCCCUACUCUGCUGACUUCUGGAAGAGGCUGAUUGGCCUCCUAGUCCUGGUUUCCUGAGGUGGGACACCUCCAGAAGAGCUCCAGAAGAGAGGAUAAGUGAGUGAGAGACUGGAGUGGAAAGAGAAGCAGGAAAAGUGAGACUGAGCAGGCGCAGAUCUCAGCUGGUCCCAACAGCUUUGAACCCAGAGAGCUGGGCCUCUAGCAAGGCCUGUUCUCUAUUCCAGCAAAAGACCAACCUGCCCCCCAGGGUCUUGGCUAAGUACACAGCUGCCCUCUAGGCCAGAUACAGGGCUCCAGGGAUGUCUUGAGAAACAGGCCAAGACAAGGGAUACAACAAUGUCCGGCACCAGACCAGGCCCAGUGUCAGCAGACCACUGUGUGCUCCAGACCACACUUAGCUCAUUCACAGCAGUGCAACCUGGCACACCAAGACUACAGAGUUCUCACUGAAAGGUGAUCGGAGUUCUGAUUUCUCUCCAGGUGUACAGAGUCAAAGACGUGUAAGAGAGAGGGACUGGAAAGAUCGCUCCACUGAGCACAGGGUGUUCUUCCAGAAGAUCUGGCUUUAAUUUUCAGUACCCACGUGGUAGCUUGCAAGUAUCUAUAACUUCCAUUCCAGGGGGAUCCUGGUGUCCUCUUCUGGCCUCCACGAAUGCUGUGCACACAUGGUAGACACACUCAGACACACACACACAACAAAUGCAUAUUUUUAAAAUAAAUAUAAAUAAAAGUUCUGGAGAAGCAGAUGCCCACGAUGAGGUGACUGCCCACAUGAGUUUCACGGUUAUUUUUACUCUUUAUCCAGUAUUUAUUCAUUAUGAUCUUGAGAACUCACUGUCAAGAAAAACAGAGAAAGCCUACUGU